UUUUAUUUUCAAAUCACUUUCACAUCUACUAUCUCAUUUGAUUCUUACAACAACCUAGGGGGAGUCAAUGCUAAGUAGUUCCGUUUUAUAGACUGGGAAACUGAGACAUCAUGUUUAUGACUUGUGUACUCACUGUAUACUUACUCAGUUGACUGGAGGUAAACCUGUGAAUGAAUCCCAGGUCUCCUGAGUCCUGCUAAUCCCCUGACUUCCAGGACUUCAUUUUGGAUUCUGGGGUCUCCAGGAUUUAAUCUCUCAAAUGGGAGUAUCUGCUACCUGGGUUUUGGCCCUGUAGACCAAGGUAGAUGUCUAUGGUUGUUGAUGAUGGGCUACAUGUAAGAAGUCCCCAGAGAUGUAAUCCAUGCCUGGGGUGCUCUGCCACGCCCCUCUCUCACAAGGCACCUAGUCCAUGGGGAUGAAAACUCUUGGAAGUAUUGGAGGUGGGAGAAAGGCUGUGUUUAAGUUGGACAGCAUUUCUUAACUCUAGUUUUUGGAGGGGAAGAAAGGUUGCAUAAAUGGGUCUGCCCCUGUGGUAUUCAGUGCCUUACCUAUGGUGUCUUCUCUCUCCCCAUCUCUCUUAGGGAAAGUUGCCAGAGGCCCAUAGGGUGGCUUUGGCAGAGGGUCCCCAUUCAGGACCAUCAGAGCUCAGUCCAAGGCUCCUCACUUCAGAAAAGUUGGGAGCCUUAGAAAGGGGGAGUGCCUUGCUCAAGCAUAUCAAAGACAGAACCAGACCCUGAACCCAAAUCCCCUCCUCCUAGCCCAGGAUACUUGGCAGGGCCACCCAGCAUUGAGGAGAGCCCCAGGUGUGUGGUGGAGUUGCUGUGAUGGGGAAUGAGGACCGUUCUCAUCGGUGUCUGCCUGGGCUCUCAUUCCCACCCCCUUAUGAUUGUCAUUCCUGGAGAUCGCUCGACUUCAUCCACUAUUUGCCACUGACAAGGGGUACUCAAUGAGUUCCUGGAGAGAUUCAGGGGCACCUCAGAAAGCUUUUCUUGAUUCAUAAUUAACUAAUGAUACCACUAUUGAGGGCUGACCGGGUGCCACAUCCUCAGAGAAACGUCAUAACAAUUUUAUGCAUUAGGCACUAUUGUUAGUGCCAUUUUUCAUUUGAAGAAAUAACUUACUUAAGGUGACACAGCAUCUAAGUGCUGAAUCCAGAAUCCAAGUGCCUUCCACACUUUGGUGCCUACUGUGUGAUGCUGCACCUGUUUCCUGACAAUGCCCAUUUUGGACGCUAUUAAACUAGCAGUCACCACAUUCAAACUGACUUUGUAGAAAGAGUGGGCUUCAGAAACAGAAUAAAGUAUAAGAAAAUCGACUCCACUCCCGUUUCAAAGCGAAGAAGUAGGUUGAGCUAGGCAGACAGGGCUGGUAGUACUCUGCCGCUCCUCUGGUGGAUCUUACCUUGUGUUUCUAGCAUUCUGGGUGCGAAUACAGUCUUAGGGUUUACAGAACAGAGUAAUGGGGCAGAGGAAUGUGGGAAGGGAUUGUGCACUGAACUAAGAAACUGCUAGAACCAUUAAAUAUCUCGAACUUUUUUUUUUUUUUCGCGUUGGCUCCCUGCAAUGUUUUUCUGUUUAGAUUUGGUUGCCACGAGUGGGCUGUUUUCAAUUACCUAGUUCCUUCCCCUCCCCUUUUUUAUUUUUUCCCUUCCUUUUGCACAUGUCCCAGCAUGAAGUCUCCAACUCUUAUCUCACUCAGCAAAACAUACCAAGGCUGAUCCGAAUGUGGAUUCCCCAGGCCAUUCACCAGCAUAAAACCUCAGUAAUCUUCAAGUCUCUGCUUAACCGUCUUUCACUGAGGAUUAACCCCUGAAAUCACCCUAGCCAGGGCUUCCUUCUAAGGCAAGACAGCCAUUCUUUGGUUUGCGUCGAGAGGAGUUUUGGUGUGGAAAGUUUUUCUGUGCGCUCCUCUGCAUGGCACUGGCUGUGUGUGUGCUGAGAGUGUGCACACUGGACAUUGGUGGCAUUAACUUAAGUCAGGGUAAAAUGAGGAUGCAAAGGACUCAGAUGUUGAUCACUCUCCUGUGGCAAAGACCUCAGGGGCUCUGCCUUGCUCUGUUCUUUUCCAGUCUCUCAAUUCAGC
rnacentral:lncRNA from 1 species